UGCAUAUCCAAAAAGCGGAGGAAAAGAAACUAACAAGGAUUCCCCUAGUAACUGCGAGUGAAGCGGGAAAAGCUCAAAUUUAAAAUCUGGUGGUCUUUGGCCAUCCGAGUUGUAAUCUAGAGAAGUGUUAUCCGCGCUGGACCGUGUACAAGUCCCCUGGAAUGGGGCGUCAUAGAGGGUGAGAAUCCCGUCUUUGACACGGACUACCAGGGCUUUGUGAUGCACUCUCAAAGAGUCGAGUUGUUUGGGAAUGCAGCUCAAAAUGGGUGGUAAAUUCCAUCUAAAGCUAAAUAUUGGCGAGAGACCGAUAGCGAACAAGUACCGUGAGGGAAAGAUGAAAAGAACUUUGGAAAGAGAGUUAAACAGUACGUGAAAUUGUUGAAAGGGAAACGCUUGAAGUCAGUCGCGUCUGCCAGGGAUCAACCUUACUUUUGUGAGGCGUACUUCCUGGUUGAUGGGUCAGCAUCAGUUUUGGUCGCUGGAUAAAGGUCAGAGAAAUGUGGCACCUUCGGGUGUGUUAUAGUCUUUGAUCAGAUACAGUGGCUGGGACUGAGGAACUCAGCGCCGCAAGGCUGUCUUAGGAUGCUGGCAAAAUGGCUUUAAUCGACCCGUCUUGAAACACGGACAAAAGGAGUCA
rnacentral:rRNA from 5 species